rnacentral:rRNA from 1 species
GAUCGGCCCGCGGCCCAUUAGCUUGUUGGUGAGGUAACGGCUCACCAAGGCCGCGAUGGGUAGCUGGUCUGAGAGGACGAUCAGCCACACUGGGACUGAAACACGGCCCAGACUCCUACGGGAGGCAGCAGUGGGGAAUCUUGCGCAAUGCGCGAAAGCGUGACGCAGCAACGCCGCGUGGGGGAAGAAGGCCUUCGGGUUGUAAACCCCUUUCAGGAGGGACGAAGCCCGGACCGUUAAUAGCGGCUCCGGGUGACGGUACCUCCAGAAGAAGCCCCGGCUAACUACGUGCCAGCAGCCGCGGUAAUACGUAGGGGGCAAGCGUUGUCCGGAAUCAUUGGGCGUAAAGCGCGUGUAGGCGGUCCGGUAAGUCGGCUGUGAAAGUCCAGGGCUCAACCCUGGGAUGCCGGUCGAUACUGCCGGACUAGAGUUCGGAAGAGGCGAGUGGAAUUCCCGGUGUAGCGGUGAAAUGCGCAGAUAUCGGGAGGAACACCAAUGGCGAAGGCAGCUCGCUGGGACGUUACUGACGCUGAGACGCGAAAGCGUGGGGAGCAAACAGGAUUAGAUACCCUGGUAGUCCACGCCGUAAACGAUGGGCACUAGGUGU